rnacentral:rRNA from 1 species
UACGGAGGGUGCAAGCGUUGCUCGGAAUUAUUGGGCGUAAAGGGCACGUAGGUGGUCUCAUUUGUCAGGGGUGAAAGCCUUGGGCUUAACUCAAGAAGUGCCCCUGAAACGGUGAGACUAGAGUGCUGGAGAGGGUCGUGGAAUUCCCGGUGUAGCGGUGAAAUGCGUAGAGAUCGGGAGGAACACCAGAGGCGAAGGCGGCGACCUGGACAGCGACUGACACUCAACUGCGAAAGCGUGGGGAGCAAACAGG